AAAAGGACAGAAAAAAUAAAAAUAAGAAUUAACAAACAUAAACUAUCCAGGAACAGGGCAGUCUGGAGCAGAUCCAAAAGAGCCUCCUGGACGAAUUCCACUUGGAAAUCCUCUGAUGCAAUGCCCGGAUAAACUAACAGGGAGGCGGGGGCGCUGUUGAGGCGGGGAACUGGUGGCGCGCUGUGGCGCGGCGAAGAAGAGGACUGACAGCGAUCGGUGAGCUCUAACACGGAAGGCUGGAGAGUAGCGCUGCCUGAAAGCAGGAGGAAGUGGGAAAAAACAAAACUAGAGGAUGAAAACAAAACGGGCACGAUCUCUGUGCAGGCUAAACAAGAGAUGUGGAUAAAGUUGAGACAUGGACGAGAACAACUCGAUGAUCUGACAACAGACAGCACACAUGAGGAGACUAAAUAGAGAAGGAGUGAUUAUCAUAAUGGAGAGCAGGUGAUGGUGACCAAUAACAAGAUAAUAAUGAAACAAGAGGGCGGAGACGGGCACCACGGUGACACAGAAGCACAUGGCACUGGCUCUCAUCAUCAACUAAACCCCGUUCCCGCAGGAGACGUGCACUUUGACCAUCUUACUAUUUCUGUAACACGCGAUUGAUUCUGCUACGUACGGUAGAUGCACUGGAUGACUUCACUGCGGUUUUAUACUGAAGCAAUGAUAUGCUAGAGGAAUUUUUUUGGAAUUUAGUUUCUGUUUUUGAAAAUAGUCAUGAUGAUAUUAAGAAAAAAAAAUCACCAGGACAUUUUACUGAUCAUUUUGUUUUUAUAUUUCUGUGGUGUAAUGUUAAUAAAAUAAUAAGAAGCAUUGUAUUUCUUAGGCAUAUAAACCGUUUUUGGCCAUGACCUCAAACCAAGCUUGUGGAGUUUCUGGUCACCGGCCAACCUAUUUAAAUCAUAUUCCCUCUGCAAUGCUAAUAUUAUGUAUAAACCAGCAAAUGCAAAAGGAAAUUUUAGAUUUCCACUGAAAAUAAACAGAUUCAGUAUAAUUCACCCCUGAGCUCAAUACGGAAACAACUGCACAUUUUCACUUUUGGGUAUAUUGGACAGAGCAACAGUUCUGGAGAGACUUUUUUGGCUAUUUAUGACUUAUUUCUGAAUUUUACAAAGCAUCCUUUAAAAACCUACCACUGCUGCUAACUUUACAUUUUACAGUAUGUACUUCUGAAAUGCACUCUGGCAAAUGAAACUGACUAAUAUAUA